rnacentral:rRNA from 1 species
AGAGUUUGAUCCUGGCUCAGAUUGAACGCUGGCGGCGUGCUUAACACAUGCAAGUCGAACGUGAAAGUCCUUCGGGGCGAGUAAAGUGGCGCACGGGUGAGUAACGCGUGGAUAAUCUACCCUUAAGAUGGGGAUAACGGCUGGAAACGGUCGCUAAUACCGAAUACGCUCCCGAUUUUAUCAUUGGGGGGAAAGAUGGCCUCUGCUUGCAAGCUAUCGCUUAAGGAUGAGUCCGCGUCCCAUUAGCUAGUUGGCGGGGUAACGGCCCACCAAGGCAACGAUGGGUAGCCGGUCUGAGAGGAUGACCGGCCACACUGGAACUGGAACACGGUCCAGACUCCUACGGGAGGCAGCAGUGGGGAAUAUUGCGCAAUGGGCGAAAGCCUGACGCAGCGACGCCGCGUGAGGGAUGAAGGUUCUCGGAUCGUAAACCUCUGUCAGGGGGGAAGAAACCCCCUCGUGUGAAUAAUGCGAGGGCUUGACGGUACCCCCAAAGGAAGCACCGGCUAACUCCGUGCCAGCAGCCGCGGUAAUACGGAGGGUGCAAGCGUUAAUCGGAAUCACUGGGCGUAAAGCGCACGUAGGCGGCUUGGUAAGUCAGGGGUGAAAUCCCACAGCCCAACUGUGGAACUGCCUUUGAUACUGCCAGGCUUGAGUACCGGAGAGGGUGGCGGAAUUCCAGGUGUAGGAGUGAAAUCCGUAGAUAUCUGGAGGAACACCGGUGGCGAAGGCGGCCACCUGGACGGUAACUGACGCUGAGGUGCGAAAGCGUGGGUAGCAAACAGGAUUAGAUACCCUGGUAGUCCACGCUGUAAACGAUGGGUGCUGGGUGCUGGGAUGUAUGUCUCGGUGCCGUAGCUAACGCGAUAAGCACCCCGCCUGGGGAGUACGGUCGCAAGGCUGAAACUCAAAGAAUUGACGGGGGCCCGCACAAGCGGUGGAGUUAUGGUGGGUUUAAAUUCGAUGCACGCGAAGAA